rnacentral:rRNA from 1 species
GAUGAACGCUGGCGGCGUGCCUAAUACAUGCAAGUCGAGCGAACAGACGAGGAGCUUGCUCCUCUGACGUUAGCGGCGGACGGGUGAGUAACACGUGGAUAACCUACCUAUAAGACUGGGAUAACUUCGGGAAACCGGAGCUAAUACCGGAUAACAUGUUGAACCGCAUGGUUCAACAGUGAAAGACGGUCUUGCUGUCACUUAUAGAUGGAUCCGCGCCGCAUUAGCUAGUUGGUAAGGUAACGGCUUACCAAGGCAACGAUGCGUAGCCGACCUGAGAGGGUGAUCGGCCACACUGGAACUGAGACACGGUCCAGACUCCUACGGGGGGCAGCAGUAGGGAAUCUUCCGCAACGGGCGAAAGCCUGACGGAGCAACGCCGCGUGAGUGAUGAAGGUCUUCGGAUCGUAAAACUCUGUUAUUAGGGAAGAACAAAUGUGUAAGUAACUAUGCACGUCUUGACGGUACCUAAUCAGAAAGCCACGGCUAACUACGUG